rnacentral:lncRNA from 1 species
UGGUGGUGUGUGCCUGUGGUCCCAGCUACUCGGGAGGCUGAGGUGGGAGAAUAGCUUGAACCUGGGAGGUGGAGGUUGCAGUGAGCCGAGAUCCCACCACUGCACUCCAGCCUAGGCGACAGAGCGAGACUGGAAAGGAAAGGAAAGAAAUGGUACCUCACAGGCAAUACAGGGAAGACCCUCUUUAAGAUUGGAAAGGGAGAUAAGGGAGCUCAUGUUAUUUCACUACCUAUUAGGAUCACUACAUUAUCUGUUUAUCCUUGUUAAGUUUUAUAAAAGUAGAUGAAGAAGAGGUGAGACUUUUCUCUCUGGUUUUACUUCCUUGCAUUAGAGAAAUUCAGAAGAAAGGUAUUUGCAUUUGCAACUAACCUGUCAAAGAAUGCUAAUUGGAAAGCAAAAUCAAAUCUCCCUUCAAGGAUAGAUCAUUUGAAUUAGAGAAUAUUCAUAAAAUGGAGUAUUAGCAAAAAAAAAAAAAAAAAAUGAGCUGCUGAUACACACAACAUAAUCUCUGAAACGUAAUGUGCCAAAGAUGACAAAGUUGAGUUCAAGCUAUGUGAUUCCAUUUAUGCAGAGUUCAAAAACAGACAAAACUGUUAUAAUAGAUGGCAAAACAGUGAAUGCCUUGGCAAGAGGGGAUUGGUUGGAAAGUAGCAGGAGAGCUUUCUGGGGUGAUGUGUUCUGCAUGUUGAUGGGGUGUUUACACAGUUGUAUACACUUGACAAACUCAUUGUAAACUUAAGAUCUGUACUUCUUACUGUAUGCAAAUUUUACCUUAAUAAAAAAUCCUCUCCUUUGUCAUACAACAUCUGUCUUCCGGAACUUCUUUACAAAUCAUACUCCUAAGAAUCUAAAUCUUGAAGAUUUAUUUUUUAUCCUAAAACCUGAUGUAUUUGCCAGGGAAUUAACAAAGAUAGUGAUACCGACUGCUUUUAAGUAACUUCUGUAGUUUUAAAAAAUUAAUUCAUAAUAGAGGUACAGAUUUUCAGGGUACAUGUGAUAAUUGACACAUUCAUACAAUGUGUACCAAUCAAAUCAGGGUAAUUGGGAUAUCCAUCACCUAUUUAUCUCCAUGUGGAAACGUUCAAAUU